rnacentral:rRNA from 1 species
CCUACGAGUGGCUGCAGUGAGGAAUAUUGGUCAAUGGGCGCGAGCCUGAACCAGCCAAGUAGCGUGAAGGAUGACUGCCCUCCGGGUUGUAAACUUCUUUUAUAAAGGAAUAAAGUGAGGCACGUGUGCCUUUUUGUAUGUACUUUAUGAAUAAGGAUCGGCUAACUCCGUGCCAGCAGCCGCGGUAAUACGGAGGAUCCGAGCGUUAUCCGGAUUUAUUGGGUUUAAAGGGAGCGUAGAUGGGUUGUUAAGUCAGUUGUGAAAGUUUGCGGCUCAACCGUAAAAUUGCAAUUGAUACUGGCAGUCUUGAGUACAGUUGAGGUAGGCGGAAUUCGUGGUGUAGCGGUGAAAUGCUGAGAUAUCACGAAGAACUCCGAUUGCGAAGGCAGCUUACUAAACUGCCACUGACAUUGAUGCUCGAAAGUGUGGGUAUCAAACAGGAUUAGAUACCCCAGUAGUC